CCUACGGGGGGCAGCAGUGAGGAAUAUUGGUCAAUGGACGAGAGUCUGAACCAGCCAAGUAGCGUGAAGGAUGACUGCCCUAUGGGUUGUAAACUUCUUUUAUAUGGGAAUAAAAUGUUCCACGUGUGGGAUUUUGUAUGUACCAUAUGAAUAAGGAUCGGCUAACUCCGUUCCAGCAGCCGCGGUAAUACGGAGGAUCCGAGCGUUAUCCGGAUUUAUUGGGUUUAAAGGGAGCGUAGGUUGAUUGUUAAGUCAGUUGUGAAAGUUUGCGGCUCAACCGUAAAAUUGCAGUUGAAACUGGCAGUCUUGAGUACAGUAGAGGUGGGCGGAAUUCGUGGUGUAGCGGUGAAAUGCGUAGAUAUCACGAAGAACUCCGAUUGCGAAGGCAGUUCACUGGACUGCAACUGACACUGAGGCUCGAAAGUGUGGGUAUCAAACAGGAUUAGAUACCCGAGUAGUC
rnacentral:rRNA from 1 species